AUUGAACGCUGGCGGAAUGCUUUACACAUGCAAGUCGAACGGCAGCACGGGGGCAACCCUGGUGGCGAGUGGCGAACGGGUGAGUAAUACAUCGGAACGUGCCCAGUCGUGGGGGAUAACGUCGCGAAAGUUACGCUAAUACCGCAUACGAUCUACGGAUGAAAGCGGGGGACCGUAAGGCCUUGCGCGAUUGGAGCGGCCGAUGUCAGAUUAGGUAGUUGGUGAGGUAAAGGCUCACGAAGCAGACGAUCUGUAGCUGGUCUGAGAGGACGACCAGCCACACUGGGACUGAGACACGGCCCAGACUCCUACGGGAGGCAGCAGUGGGGAAUUUUGGACAAUGGGCGCAAGCCUGAUCCAGCCAUUCCGCGUGCAGGACGAAGGCCUUCGGGUUGUAAACUGCUUUUGUACGGAACGAAAAGGCUCUGGUUAAUACCUGGGGCUCAUGACGGUACCGUAAGAAUAAGCACCGGCUAACUACGUGCCAGCCGCCGCGGUAA
rnacentral:rRNA from 1 species